AUUCUGGUGUCCAAGGCGUAGAGGAACCACACCAACCUAUCAUUCCAAAGUUGUUUGAUGAAAACCAUCCCGAAUUUGGUGGUUAAACUUUACUGCGGUGACGAUACUGCGGGGGAAGCCCCGCGGAAAAAUAGCUCGAUGCCAGGAUA
rnacentral:rRNA from 5 species